rnacentral:rRNA from 1 species
CCAUUAAUCAAGAACGAAAGUUAGAUGAUCGAAGGCGAUCAGAUACCGCCCUAGUUCUAACCAUAAACGAUGCCAGCCAGCGAUGCGGCUGCGUUCCUCAAAUGACGCGCCGUGCAGCUUCUGGGAAACCAAAGCUUUUGGGUUCCGGGGGAAGUAUGGUUGCAAAGCUGAAACUUAAAGGAAUUGACGGAAGGGCACUACAAGGAAUGGAGCCUGCGGCUUAAUUUGACUCAACACACGGAAUCUUUCCCGGUCCGGACACAGGAAGGAUUGACAGAUUAAGAGCUCUUUCUUGAUUCUGUGGGAGGUGGCGCAUGGCCGUUCUUAGUUGGUGGAGCGAUUUGUCUGAUUAAUUUCGUUAACGAGCGAGACUCUAGCCUACUAAAUAGACGUUCCGAUCCUUGUUGUCGGACGUUCUUCUUAGAGGGACAAGCGGCGUUUAGCCGCACGAGACUGAGCAAUAACAGGUCUGUAAUGCCCUUAGAUGUCCGGGGCCGCACGCGCGCUACAUUGAAGGAAUCAGCGUGUCUGUCCCUGCCCGACAGGGCUGGGUAACCCGUUGAACCUCCUUCGUGCUGGGGAUAGGAAAUUGUAAUUAUUUUCCUUGAACGAGGAAUUCCUAGUAAGCGCGAGUCAUCAGCUCGUGUUGAUUACGUCCCUGCCCUUUGUGCACACCGCCCGUCGCUACUACCGAUCGAGUGAUUUAGUGAGGUCUUCGGACUGGCGCUCGGAUUGGCCUCUUGGUCGAGCCGAAGUGCCGGAAAGUUGGCCGAAC